rnacentral:rRNA from 1 species
GCGAACGCUAGCGGCGAGCCUAACACAUGCAAGUCGAGCGGGGAGCAAUCCCAGCGGCGAACGGGUGAGUAACACGUAGGUCACGUGUCCUUUGGUGGGGAACAACCGUGGGAAACCAUGGCUAAUUCCGCAUAUGUCCUUCGGGAUGAAAGCCUUCGGGCGCCAUUGGAGCGGCCUGCGGCCGAUUAUUUAGUCCUAGUUGGUAGGGUAAUGGCCUACCAAGGGUACGAUCGGUAGCUGGUCUGAGAGGAUGAUCAGCCACACUGGAACUGAGACACGGUCCAGACUCCUACGGGAGGCAGCAGUGGGGAAUAUUGCGCAAUGGGCGAAAGCCUGACGCAGCUACGCCGCGUGAGUGAUGAAGGCCUUCGGGUUGUAAAGCUCUGUCGGGAGGGACGAAGGGGAAACUCUGACGGUACCUCGCAAGAAAGCACCGGCUAACUCUGU